CUCCCCCAGCUCAUUGCAGCUGCAAAGAUGCUAUAAGAGAAGUCUUUUCAAUAGGGUCUGAACUGCAUUGCCACAGAAAGGACAGCAAGAUGGUUUGUCAGACCCCAAUGCUCCUGACUGUGUUGCUCUGGGUCUCUGGUGUCUGCAGUGACAUUGUGAUGACCCAGUCUCCAGCCUCCCUGGCAGUGACUCCUGGAGAGAGAGCCACCAUCCACUGCAAGUCCAGCCAGAGUCUUAUAUACAGUAGAAACAACAAGAACUACUUAGACUGGUACCAGCAGAAACCAGGGCAAUCUCCCAAACUGCUCAUCUACUUGGCAUCCACCCGAGAAACUGGGGUCCCAGACCGGUUCAGCGGCAGUGGGUCUGGCACAGACUUUACUCUCACCAUCAGCCCAGUGCAGGCUGAAGAUGUGGCAGAUUAUUACUGUAUGCAGACUUUCGGUACUCCUCCCACAGUGAUUCAGCCUCGUACAUAAACUUCCUCUCAGUAUCUCCCCAGCUGCUUGCUCUCCAAGAAGCCCAGGACUUCAACACUUCCUCCUGCUGCCUGAGAGAUCAUGAUCUGGAGUAUGCAUUUUUGGAGAUAUUUUUCAGAGCUUAGUACGAAUUAAUGUCACUCCCUGGUUCUUGAUUCUUUUAGUAUAAGAAAUUCGUAUGUAGAAAAGAGCUCUGUAUUAGCUUCCUAUUCUUUAUGUUUUUAUUUGCUACAAGCUCAAAUUCUUUAACACAAGAAAUUCAUUAGUUUAACACUUUUGGUGAUAUCUAGAAGGGAGAGACUAAGGCCAAAGGGAUCAUCUAAUUCUAAUUCUUUGAAACAAUCUCCAUACUGAUUUCCAGCAUGGUGAUGCCAACUUAAACUCCUGCCAAUAUUGGAAACGGGUUAUUUGCUCUGUAGCCUCCAGUUUUUGUCAUUGUUUGCUUUCUUGGCAAUAGCCACGUUCCUGUGGAUUUAGAUGAAAACUUACGUUGUUUGAGUUUGCAUUUGUUGAAUGACCAGUGAAGUUGGGCACUGUAUCAUAUAUUUAUUUGCUGUUUGUAUUUCAGAUGCUUACUUUUGGAUUCAGCCACAGCAAUCUAUGUACAACCGUGCAUGUGGUGCACUUUUUGAUAACUUAAUCUUGGAAACCAUCUAUAUGCUCUUUUGCAGAUUAAUGGAUAAGGAAAAUGUGGUUUAUAUGUUCAAUGUAGUACUUCUUUGCCAUAUUGUAGAGUAAAUUAGGGUCAUUUUUAGGUAAAUGAGUGCAUCUAAAUCAUUUUGUAUGAGAGCAACUGGACACACAUGUUUAAAUAUUGCAUUGUUUUUCUUAGAUUACAAACUCAAAUUCUAAAUAAGGAUCAAGAUGUAGGACAGAUUUUAGGAAUUAGGAAGAAAAUGUACAAAAGGCAAAGUAAACCAGGAACGGGGCAUAGGGACGAGAAAGAAGGCAAUAGACAUUAAAACUAUGCAAAGAAUGGAAGGAAAGCAAUAGUAACAAAGUUCUGUAAAUGAAGAGGAGAAGAAGGAUUGAGUGGAAGAGAAUGGGAAAAAAUAAGCAUUAUGAUACACUGUAUACUGGUACAGAUUGUCUAAGAUGAAUGUGAUGAUUAUUCCUGGCAACAGAUACUGAUACAAUUCAUUAAAAUAAGAAAUGCCAUCUUUCUAUAGUUCAGAUUUGGUGGAUAAAUAUCCAGACAUUCUCAUGCCUCCAGGAGAGAGUCUUUCUCUUGCCUUUCACGCUGCUUGAUGUCCUCCUCAUGCCUUGGCCAGUAGCCCUUUUCUUCUAAACACAGAGCCAGCACCAGCUCAUCUCUCUGACAUUUCUUGCAGCAUCACACAUUCCUCUGUAGUUUUCACAUCUGACUUCAUGCUAAUGAUGAAAAUAACUGUGUGUUUAGCUGAACCUGCCCUCCAGUCCCCUCAUCUCACUAGAAUUGUCCAAAUUCAGUGUUUGGCAUGGCAAAGUUCGAGUCUCCGUGGGAACAACAACUUAGUAUUUCCAUUAUAGUCACUUUUGAAAUGGAAUUGAGCCCUUACCCCGGGGCAUAAAAGGAAGCAAUAUUCUCAUACUUUUCAAAUAGUGAUUUGUGACCUCACAAGCUUCUGCUAUUCCAUACUGAAGGAAAAAUGCACAGUGGGCAUCUGAAGAAGCAGAGCAUUUAUAUAAGGAGCAGGCAGCAGUGUGAUUCAGGCGAGUCUGAGAUGAGUGAAAGUUGACCAUAUAGGGACUUGAGAGUUCUCAAGUGUGCUGGCUUGUCUUAUAAUUUCAAUAUAGUUGUGAACAAAUAGCUUUGCCUUUGCCAAAUAUUAUACAAACAGGCAUGCAGAGAGAAGUUUGUAUUGCAUGAAAAUUUUGUCUUUUAAACAUUACUUAAUUGGAAAAAAUUUAUAACUGAGCAUGAAAUCCAUCUCUGCGCUUAUUGGAAGUCAAUCAAAUGGGCAUAAUCAAAUAUAUGGAAAAAAUCAGGUUUUAUCUGUGACUAAAGAUUAUCUUAGUGCAAAAAUUAAAGAUAAUUUAUAUCUUGGGGCACUGCAUAGAAGUGUUACAUUCUAGAUUGUGUGAUAUCUUAAAGGAUACUUUGUACAAAACAGAAACACAGAAUUUCCUAGGUCCUUGCCUCUGCUAGGUAAGUGCUUUAACAGAUCUACAUCCCAGUAACCCAUCUGCCUGUUUCUUAUAAGAAUGGUGAAUGUGUGUGGAAGGUCUUGGGGGAGGCUGGUGUGUGACCUGGGUUUCAGAGAAAUUCUACAUUGCCCACAGAGAGAGGCUGCCUAGGUGUUAGCCAUAGUGAUGCCAUCAGGGCCUUGGACUCAGCUUAGGCUUGUGUGCUCAGAAAAACCUGGGUGCUAUUUCUGAGCUGAGUGGAAUCCUGCUCAUGCCUGCCCACAUGCUGAGAUCUUCACUUGCAGCCUUCUGGUAGCUGAGCAGUGGCAUGCUUUCUCCCAUCAGGAAGAGCCAUACUAUGUGGCGUGAGAGUUUAACUCAGAGACAAGAUUAAAAUCUGCAAAUGCAUCCAGUGAAUCUCCUGUGAGUUUCCAUUUCUCACUUGAAAACUAGGAAUGAUGAAAUUGCCUUGAAGGAUGAAUAGCAUAGCAUAUGUGAGUUUCUUAGCAUUGUUUACGUAGAUCCAGUCACAUGGGAAGCAAAUUUAUAAAUAGGUGUAAAUGAGAACUUUCUUUUGCUCAGUACUAGCAUAUUAUUUUAAAAAAAUCAAAAUAAAAGUGAAAUUACUUUGUUUCCUUAA